GAUGAACGCUGGCGGCGUGCCUAAUACAUGCCAGUCGAGGGAACAGACGAGGAGCUUGCUCCUCUGACGUUAGCGGCGGACGGGUGAGUAACACGUGGAUAACCUACCUAUAAGACUGGGAUAACUUCGGGAAGCCGGAGCUAAUACCGGAUAAUAUAUUGAACCGCAUGGUUCAAUAGUGAAAGACGGUUUUGCUGUCACUUAUAGAAGGAUCCGCGCCGCAUUAGCUAGUUGGUAAGGUAACGGCUUACCAAGGCAACGAUGCGUAGCCGACCUGAGAGGGUGAUCGGCCACACUGGAACUGAGACACGGUCCAGACUCCUACGGGAGGCAGCAGUAGGGAAUCUUCCGCAAUGGGCGAAAGCCUGACGGAGCAACGCCGCGUGAGUGAUGAAGGUCUUCGGAUCGUAAAACUCUGUUAUUAGGGAAGAACAAAUGUGUAAGUAACUAUGCACGUCUUGACGGUACCUAAUCAGAAAGCCACGGCUAACUACGUG
rnacentral:rRNA from 1 species